AAAUUGAAGAGUUUGAUCAUGGCUCAGAUUGAACGCUGGCGGCAGGCCUAACACAUGCAAGUCGAGCGGUAGCACAGAGAGCUUGCUCUCGGGUGACGAGCGGCGGACGGGUGAGUAAUGUCUGGGAAACUGCCUGAUGGAGGGGGAUAACUACUGGAAACGGUAGCUAAUACCGCAUAACGUCGCAAGACCAAAGUGGGGGACCUUCGGGCCUCAUGCCAUCAGAUGUGCCCAGAUGGGAUUAGCUAGUAGGUGGGGUAAUGGCUCACCUAGGCGACGAUCCCUAGCUGGUCUGAGAGGAUGACCAGCCACACUGGAACUGAGACACGGUCCAGACUCCUACGGGAGGCAGCAGUGGGGAAUAUUGCACAAUGGGCGCAAGCCUGAUGCAGCCAUGCCGCGUGUGUGAAGAAGGCCUUCGGGUUGUAAAGCACUUUCAGCGGGGAGGAAGGCGUUAAGGUUAAUAACCUUGGCGAUUGACGUUACCCGCAGAAGAAGCACCGGCUAACUCCGUGCCAGCAGCCGCGGUAAUACGGAGGGUGCAAGCGUUAAUCGGAAUUACUGGGCGUAAAGCGCACGCAGGCGGUCUGUCAAGUCGGAUGUGAAAUCCCCGGGCUCAACCUGGGAACUGCAUUCGAAACUGGCAGGCUAGAGUCUUGUAGAGGGGGGUAGAAUUCCAGGUGUAGCGGUGAAAUGCGUAGAGAUCUGGAGGAAUACCGGUGGCGAAGGCGGCCCCCUGGACAAAGACUGACGCUCAGGUGCGAAAGCGUGGGGAGCAAACAGGAUUAGAUACCCUGGUAGUCCACGCCGUAAACGAUGUCGAUUUGGAGGUUGUGCCCUUGAGGCGUGGCUUCCGGAGCUAACGCGUUAAAUCGACCGCCUGGGGAGUACGGCCGCAAGGUUAAAACUCAAAUGAAUUGACGGGGGCCCGCACAAGCGGUGGAGCAUGUGGUUUAAUUCGAUGCAACGCGAAGAACCUUACCUGGUCUUGACAUCCACAGAACUUAGCAGAGAUGCUUUGGUGCCUUCGGGAACUGUGAGACAGGUGCUGCAUGGCUGUCGUCAGCUCGUGUUGUGAAAUGUUGGGUUAAGUCCCGCAACGAGCGCAACCCUUAUCCUUUGUUGCCAGCGGUUAGGCCGGGAACUCAAAGGAGACUGCCAGUGAUAAACUGGAGGAAGGUGGGGAUGACGUCAAGUCAUCAUGGCCCUUACGACCAGGGCUACACACGUGCUACAAUGGCAUAUACAAAGAGAAGCGACCUCGCGAGAGCAAGCGGACCUCAUAAAGUAUGUCGUAGUCCGGAUUGGAGUCUGCAACUCGACUCCAUGAAGUCGGAAUCGCUAGUAAUCGUAGAUCAGAAUGCUACGGUGAAUACGUUCCCGGGCCUUGUACACACCGCCCGUCACACCAUGGGAGUGGGUUGCAAAAGAAGUAGGUAGCUUAACCUUCGGGAGGGCGCUUACCACUUUGUGAUUCAUGACUGGGGUGAAGUCGUAACAAGGUAACCGUAGGGGAACCUGCGGUUGGAUCACCUCCUUA
rnacentral:rRNA from 1 species